rnacentral:rRNA from 1 species
GAUGAACGCUGGCGGCGUGCCUAAUACAUGCAAGUCGAGCGAAUGGAUUAAGAGCUUGCUCUUAUGAAGUUAGCGGCGGACGGGUGAGUAACACGUGGGUAACCUGCCCAUAAGACUGGGAUAACUCCGGGAAACCGGGGCUAAUACCGGAUAACAUUUUGAACCGCAUGGUUCGAAAUUGAAAGGCGGCUUCGGCUGUCACUUAUGGAUGGACCCGCGUCGCAUUAGCUAGUUGGUGAGGUAACGGCUCACCAAGGCAACGAAUGCGUAGCCGACCUGGGAGGGUGAUCGGCCACACUGGGACUGAGACACGGCCCAGACUCCUACGGGAGGCAGCAGUAGGGAAUCUUCCGCAAUGGACGAAAGUCUGACGGAGCAACGCCGCGUGAGUGAUGAAGGCUUUCGGGUCGUAAAACUCUGUUGUUAGGGAAGAACAAGUGCUAGUUGAAUAAGCUGGCACCUUGACGGUACCUAACCAGAAAGCCACGGCUAACUACGUGUCAGCCGCCGCUGUAA